rnacentral:misc_RNA from 1 species
UUUCCGUAGGUGAACCUGCGGAAGGAUCAUUAACACGUUUCGUUCCGAUAACGUUAUUCUUGACCCAUUCUAUUUUCCGUGCACUUUUUCCAAAUACCGGCCUCCCGACCUUUCCUCUCGGUUUAUUCCGUCUGUUUUGAUUGUGUCGGGCGUUCUUGUGGGUUCAGUCCCAUGAGAGCGUUGCCAACUAACCCAAACCCCUUAAAUCUAAUUGAUCUGAACUUGAAAAGUUGGUGGGCUACAAUUGAAUUGUGGCUCCAACGAAAUACCAAAACUAAAAAACAACUCUUAACAAUGGAUAUCUUGGUUCUC